rnacentral:rRNA from 1 species
AUCUAUAUAGCUUGUUCACGCAAAUACAUGGUAACACCAACAUACUUGGUAUGAUAUUGUGGUCAAUUACUAUUAUCCAAUGUUCCAUAGCCAAAACAGUUGAACGACCAAAAGAAGUGCUCCAUAGCCACGACAGUGGCAUACACUGGACUGACCAAAAGGCAACUAAAUAUGACCAAUAACUACAAAUAUGCUCUAUUUGCCUUCUUAGCUUUGAAAUCAACCUUUAAUCCAUCAAUUCCACCAAUGCUAGAGAACUGAGAGUGGUUUGAGUUGAUGGUUGUUCUUGUUUAACAUUUUCCUAACCUCUGUUUCUUUUUUAAAAAAGGAUACCAUUGUUUGUUGCUUCACCAUUACCUG